UCUCUUAUCGUACAAUGGCAAAGUACGCACGGAAAUGGGACCAAAUUUGAACGCGUAUUCUUCUCCGUGAUAUCUGGGUUCGAAUCCCGGUAAGAGAC